rnacentral:rRNA from 1 species
AUUGAACGCUGGCGGCAGGCUUAACACAUGCAAGUCGAGCGGAGAUGAGGUGCUUGCACCUUAUCUUAGCGGCGGACGGGUGAGUAAUGCUUAGGAAUCUGCCUAUUAGUGGGGGACAACAUUCCGAAAGGAAUGCUAAUACCGCAUACGUCCUACGGGAGAAAGCAGGGGAUCUUCGGACCUUGCGCUAAUAGAUGAGCCUAAGUUGGACUAGCUAGUUGGUGGGGUAAAGGCCUACCAAGGCGACGAUCUGUAGCGGGUCUGAGAGGAUGAGCCGCCAAACUGGGACUGAGACACAGCCCAGACUCCUACGGGAGGCAGCAGUGGGGAAUAUUGGACGAUGGGAGGAACCCUGAGCCAGCCAUGCCGCGUGUGUGAAGAAGGCCUUAUGGUUGUAAAGCACUUUAAGCGAGGAGGAGGAUACUGAGACUAAUACUCUUGGAUAGUGGACGUUACUCGCAGAAUAAGCACCGGCUAACUCUGUGCCAGCCGCCGCCGUAA